rnacentral:rRNA from 1 species
UACGGAGGGUGCAAGCGUUAUCCGGAUUCACUGGGUUUAAAGGGUGCGUAGGUGGGUCUGUAAGUCAGUGGUGAAAUCUCCGGGCUUACUCGGAAACUGCCGUUGAUACUAUAGAUCUUGAAUAUCGCGUAGGUAAGCGGAAUAUGUCAUGUAGCGGUGAAAUGCUUAGAUAUGACAUAGAACACCAAUUGCGAAGGCAGCUUACUUCACGAUCAUUGACACUGAGGCACGAAAGCGUGGGGAGCAAACAGG